rnacentral:misc_RNA from 1 species
UCUUCCACAAGAAGGCCAAGACGACGAAGAAGGUCGUCCUCCGCCUCGAGUGCACGGUCUGCAAGUACAAGAUGCAGAUGGCCCUCAAGCGCACCAAGCACUUCGAGUUGGGAGGUGACAAGAAGCAGAAGGGCCAGGCCCUUGUC